rnacentral:rRNA from 1 species
GCUGCUAUAUAGGUGCUGCAUGGCUGUCGUCAGCUCGUGUCGUGAGAUGUUGGGUUAAGUCCCGCAACGAGCGCAACCCUUAUUGUCAGUUGCCAUCAUUCAGUUGGGCACUCUGGCGAAACCGCCUCGGAUAACGGGGAGGAAGGUGGGGAUGACGUCAAGUCCUCAUGGCCUUUAUGUCCAGGGCUACACACGUGCUACAAUGGUCGGUACAAACCGUCGCAAACCCGUGAGGGGGAGCUAAUCGGAAAAAGCCGACCUCAGUUCGGAUUGGAGUCUGCAACCCGACUCCAUGAAGCUGGAAUCGCUAGUAAUCGCGGAUCAGAACGCCGCGGUGAAUACGUUCCCGGGCCUUGUACACACCGCCCGUCACAUCACGAAAGUGGACUGCACUAGAAGCCGGUGUGCCAACCGCAAGGAGGCAGCCGUCCAAGGUAUGGUUCAUGAUUGGGGUGAAGUCGUAACAAGGUAGCCGUA